ACAAGUAUGGAUGUGAAUUUUUGCAUCCGACAAAUAUCCCUAUCCGUAUGUAUAUUCCUCAAACAAAACAAAUCUGAAUAUGGAUAUAUUGGUAUCUGAUCCGUAUCUGGUUUCUGCCCUAAGAUAGAUAGAUGCGAAGACUGCCCUUGGGUACCUCCAACUUGUAAGGAAGGACCACAAAACUGAAAAAGAUAUCAACUUCUAGAGAUAGAAAGGAGGGGAAUCCACAGUCAUUGCUUUAUUGGAGAUGGAUGUGAAUUGAUAAGGAUUCUAAAUAUCAGCAGGAAUGUGUAUCUCCAGGACCACUCCCCGGUUAAGAUUCUUGGCACUGUGGCACUGGAGUCCUUUUCAUCGGAGGAGCUGUAUUUCCGGCCAAUGACCACCUAAUCCACUUGUUCAACAGGAUCAGCUCUUUUCAUGGAUCCAAACCUGCCACACCUUUGGAAAGAUGAAUGAUUGUGUAAAUCAAUAUGAUAGCUUGACUAGGCCAUCCCCUGAAGCACCUGAUUGUGCUGUUUCUUUGUCCUCUUUGAAUGUCAGUUAUCUACACUAUCUUAUAACAAUAAUACUCUGUUUUUAAGUAGUGUUUUUUGUUUCAAAUUAAGCUUGGAAGAGUGAAAGAAUAAUGCAGUGAUCUCAGUUUAUUAUGAUAGUUAUCUUCACUUUAGACAUUAUAAAGCUUGUUUUCAGCAGACAGUAUGUAUCAAUAGUAUCAAUAGCUUUUUCUUGAAUAUGUGUAGUAAUGUGUAGCUAAAACCAAUUACAUGGCAAAGAAUGCUAGGCUAUGAUUUAUUUGCAGCUAUAUUACACCACGGCACUAAUGUAUAAGAAAUACAGUACAGAAAUUCUGGAUUAUUAAGCCACACUCUCUCUAGCUUGUCCAACUUCAGAUGAGCUACUUUCAUGGAUCUUUUGGAGUGGGAAUGCGUGACAGGUUCAGUAACUUGGAGAGGACCAGGACCAGCGUGGUCCCAGGGAUUGAGGUUCUUUGGAUCAAUAUGGUGAAAGGAAUUUGGGAUUUCAGAAUUCAGCCAACCUAUGAGGCUGAAACUGAUGUCUCACUCCACAAAGAUUUCAGUGAUAUCCAAGUUAUGAUCAGUGGUAAUCAAUCCUCUGUGCUGUUGGGUAUGGCAUAUUCUAUUUCCUCCAAUUUGUUAGAUAUUAGGGGAGGCUAGAUAACAUUUGGUUUGAAGCAAUGAGAUGAGAUUUAGAGAUCAUUUUCAUCCCCAUGGCAAACUAGGAUCAAUGGGUUGUAAGUCAAAUGAAAUUAACCUAGCCUACGUAGUUGGGUUAAUACAUGAAGGCAGGAUGAAAUUAUUAUUGCCAGUAGACCUCAAAUAUCAUUCGCUUACCCAUUUCUGAUCAUAUAUAUGAUGAAUAUACUGUGAGCUAAUGUUAUUUGAUAUACAGAACCUCUCUACUUAUGUGAUGCAUUUUAUAAAUUUUAAUAUUUAUGGUUAUUUUAAUUUGUUAUAAUAUAAUCGUUUAUUGCUGAUUUUUGAAAU